UACGUAGGCAGCAAGCGUUGUUCGGAGUUACUGGGCGUAAAGGGUGUGUAGGCGGUUGGAUAAGUGUGGUGUGAAAUCUCCCGGCUUAACUGGGAGGGUGCGCUACAAACUGAUCUGACUAGAGUGUGGAUGGGUAAGUGGAAUUCCUGGAUGUAGCGGUGAAAUGCGUAGAUAUCAGGAGGAACACCGGUGGUGUAAACGGCUUCUGGACCGAUAACUGACGCUGAGGCACGAAAGCGUGGGUAGCAAACAGG
rnacentral:rRNA from 1 species